ACAUCUGAAGUACCUCAAAUCUGGACUUUUAGUUGCUUUUGAAUUUGGCUUCUUUGUCUUUGACUCAAUUCCAUUGGCUAUGCCAGAAAAUUUGGACUGAUUGAAUUGCCACAGCAAAUCAGGUUCUGAUGAAUCACUAGUGCCGGCAUCAAGAUCAUCCAUAUCAUCAGUACUACUAAUGUUGAACCGGUUGUUACCCCCAUAAAUAUUGUAGGAUUGUUCAGAGUAAAUUUUUGUAGGAUCUGAAAGAUACUUCUGGUAAAAGACAUCAGGCAAAUUACCAUUGUCUGCUUCCCAACUUCCUAAUGGAUUCUCAACUCUGUUUAUAGCAUCUUGCUUGUUCACCAUGACUUUAUCGACCCAUUCACCUGAUCCCACUUCCUUCUCAUCUUCCCUAUAAUUUUUGCUAGGACUAACAACUGGAGGCCAUGGAGGUGAAUUUGCUAACAGCUCAUCGAGAUCAAAACUUUGCCUUUUUUGCCUCAAUGUAGCGUUUGUAUGAACCUGUAUAUGCAGCACAUCAGUGUUUAAAAAAACCUAAGUACUUACUGACUAGGAAGGUUUUUCCCCAUCCAUGCCAACUCUCAACAAUCUUUUUCUCAUAAUAUAGUUUUAUUAUCUAUACAUAGCAUUAUCUAUAAUGUGAAGUACAAAAUGCUAAUAUUUUGCUCAAUUCACACCCAUGAUGCCUAGACAUCUACAAUGUGAAAUACAAAAGUACCAUAAUAUGAAGUAACCCUCAAAUAUUUCGAUACGAUUGAUAGAUAUGCAAAAUGAAAUGAGGUGAAGUCUGCCUCAACCAGAUUGAAGAUGGUCAUAAUUUCAGUUAGCUACUUUGAAUGCGAUGUUUUUCUACAAUAGUGUAACUUUCAUAUUGCAAAAAUACAUGAUUAUGUACUUAUAAUUAUACAAGUGUCAAUCAGCAAUCUUUAAGAAAAAUUAUGACUAAUGAUGAUAGGAUAGCAAGAUUCACCUCUAUGUUACCUACAUCACCCAUAGGUUGCCGGAAGCCAUUGCCAUCAUUCACAUCCCCAAUCCGCAGGCUAGAAUUCAACGGUGAUGACUCAUUUUCUUUUCUUCUAUACCUUUCGGGGUUGCCAGAUGCAGAAUGUUGAAAGUGUUCUGGUUCUGCCUCUUUCCUUGCUAAUGCUGCCUUAAGGCUAGCAAUCUAGGAAGGGGGAAAGGAAUCAAAUGUUUAAUACAGUGUACCCUGAAGUUAAAGUAUGAUUAAGACAGCUAUGAUGGAAAAUGUAAAGGAGACAAAGGAAAUGACUAACUUCUUCUUUGAGCUCUUUGAUAUCUGCUGCACUAUCUUUGUUCACUCGAGCUGCUCCUAGUUCAACAGUGGCUACACGUUGUGCAAAAUUAAGUGUACUUAUUGUUUCUCCAAUUGCUUCAGGCUCCGGGCUUAUGUGGACAAACAUUAAUGUCUUUGCCUGUCCUCCUGAAACAAGAAUCACAAAUCACAAUCAUAAUCAUUUUUAUUGGAAAAAAAGGGGAAAACAAAACAAAUACUGAAAUUUGAACAAUGUGUUACUUUGACCUUACCAAGUGAGUCUUGGAGCAGUUGUGUAACUAAAAAUUCCUACUUUCUAUUUGCAGUUCUGCGUUUCAUAUCAACAGGGGCUGGCUGCCUUCCAUUCCGGUGCAAAGGAGCAUUAACUCCAUUUUUUCGUGAUGGCGAAGGGCCUAGCAUAGGAUUCAAGUUCUUGCUGCAAAACAAAUGUUAACAACUCUGUUAAACAUUAGAAUUUAACAUGUAAGUGUAGACCAAAACAAAGAGCACAUCUGAAGUACCUCAAAUCUGGACUUUUAGUUGCUUUUGAAUUUGGCUUCUUUGUCUUUGACUCAAUUCCAUUGGCUAUGCCAGAAAAUUUGGACUGAUUGAAUUGCCACAGCAAAUCAGGUUCUGAUGAAUCACUAGUGCCGGCAUCAAGAUCAUCCAUAUCAUCAGUACUACUAAUGUUGAACCGGUUGUUACCCCCAUAAAUAUUGUAGGAUUGUUCAGAGUAAAUUUUUGUAGGAUCUGAAAGAUACUUCUGGUAAAAGACAUCAGGCAAAUUACCAUUGUCUGCUUCCCAACUUCCUAAUGG
rnacentral:lncRNA from 1 species